CACCCAAUAGCACAUGGUGUGCAUCUGUCGGACUUAUAAGAACUGAAGCGAAGUUAACAGGAGGCCCCCGUUCGAUUCGGGGUUGGGUGA